UACGUAGGGGGCUAGCGUUGUCCGGAUUUAUUGGGCGUAAAGAGCGUGUAGGCGGCCAGGUAGGUCCGUUGUGAAAACUCGAGGCUCAACCUCGAGACGUCGAUGGAAACCAUCUGGCUAGAGUCCGGAAGAGGAGAGUGGAAUUCCUGGUGUAGCGGUGAAAUGCGCAGAUAUCAGGAAGAACACCUAUGGCGAAGGCAGCUCUCUGGGACGGUACUGACGCUAAGACGCGAAAGCGUGGGGAGCGAACAGG
rnacentral:rRNA from 1 species